rnacentral:rRNA from 1 species
GCUCCGAGAUGAGAUUUCCAUCCCUUUGUGGGGAGAGGUGCCCAGGAGAACACUGGGUUGAUAGGCCGGGUAUGGAAGCACUGUGAGGUGUGGAGUUGACUGGUACUAAUACGCCGAUCACUCACACAA